rnacentral:tRNA from 1 species
AAAUAAGAAUUAAUAAUAAUUAAAUUUAAUUUCGACUUAAAAAUAGGAAACCUUUCCCUUAUUUU